UUCUCUUUACAUCUCUGUCAGUCUCUUCCUUUCUGUUCGCUCAGGAGAACAUCCCUGAAAACCGUAGUGAUGGUGACUCGCCAACUUGCCUGUUUGCAUGCCUGCACAUCGAUGUUAGCUGCUGAGAAUUGUUACGACAAGUCGAGACAUGGGAAUUGUUGAAGCAGAGGAGAACAUGGUCGUAUGCAGUUAUCAUUGAAGGUGGUGGACACUUGGAUUCUUCGUCAACUUCUUCUCGUCUCCAAUGGUAGAAGAAGGCGGUCUGACGUAAAAGAACGUUUCGCAAGCAACCGAGAAUACGUAAGUACACUGAUCGCGCUCGCCAAACGAGUAUAACGACCUGACUAGAUUUUUCCGAGGAGAGGAAAAUUUAUUCGCCUUCUACCGACUCGUAUAACGUUUGAAUUUAAUAAUCAUGCCUGUCUAACACGCAUAUGUACAUAAGAUCAACUGUGAGUAUGAAUCACCAUUUUCGCACUUAUCUGCCGACUAAUUAGCUCGCAUAAAUAUCAUUAAUAUUUUGCAAUCGUAAAAUAUAUACAUACGUGUUUCAUUUUUCAUCG